CUGUAUUUCCCUUUCUCUGGAUCAGCUCCAGCAUUUUUCUCUGUAGCGUUCCUGAGUUUUUUGGACCUCGUCUUUGCCAUCUUCCUGCCUGAUCUCUUCGUCUUGUUUCUGCUCGUCCUCCUGAGCACCAGAUAUUCUGGCUGUCAGAGUUCUUGAAUUCGAGUGUUCCAGAAAUCUUAUUUCUUCUAAUAAGCGUCUGGAUUCCUGAUGAUAUUCUGACCAGUGUAAAAGUCUCGCAGUAGCAGCUCGUGGCCAGUAGGAGGUGUGAUGCUCCACCGAUGGACCGCAGUGCCCCAGCUGGAGCAGGCUGAGAGGGUGUGUGUGUGUGAGAGAGAGAGUACUGGGAAAUAAUUUACAAUAAAAUGAUUACCAAGAGUCAUAACGACAUAAAGGAAUGAAUAUUACACCAAUUUAAUCUAAUAUUAUAAACCUGACAGAAUGUAAUGUAACAUGUAUCAGAUGUAUUAUAUAAUAACAUUAUAAUCUAAUGUUGUUAUUGUUAUUAGAUGACGAGAUCACGCAAUAUUUAAUCAGCAAUACUUCUAUGAUCGUCACAAAAUA